rnacentral:rRNA from 1 species
CAAUAGCGUAUAUUUAAGUUGCUGCAGUUAAAAAGCUCGUAGUUGGAUUUCGGGUGGGAAUGGCCGGUCCGCCGUUUCGGUGUGCACUUGCUACGCCCACCUUGCUGCCGGGGACGUGCUCUUGAGUUCACGCUCGGGACACGGAGUCGGCGAGGUUACUUUGAGUAAAUUAGAGUGUUCAAAGCAGGCCUACGCUCUGAAUACAUUAGCAUGGAAUAACACGAUAGGACUCUGGCCUAUCUUGUUGGUCUGUAGGACCGGAGUAAUGAUUAAGAGGGACAGUCGGGGGCAUUCGUAUUUCAUUGUCAGAGGUAAAAUUCUUGGAUUUAUGAAAGACGAACUACUGCGAAAGCAUUUGCCAAGGAUGUUUUCAUUAA